rnacentral:rRNA from 1 species
CCUACGGGUGGCAGCAGUGAGGAAUAUUGGUCAAUGGACGAGAGUCUGAACCAGCCAAGUCGCGUGAAGGAUGACUGCCCUAUGGGUUGUAAACUUCUUUUAUGUGGGAAUAAAAUGUUCCACGUGUGGGCUUUUGUAUGUACCAUAUGAGUAAGGAUCGGCUAACUCCGUUCCAGCAGCCGCGGUAAUACGGAGGAUCCGAGCGUUAUCCGGAUUUAUUGGGUUUAAAGGGAGCGUAGGUGGAUUGUUAAGUCAGUUGUGAAAGUUUGGGGCUCAACCGUAAAAUUGCAGUUGAUACUGGCAGUCUUGAGUACAGUAGAGGUGGGCGGAAUUCGUGGUGUAGCGGUGAAAUGCUUAGAUAUCAGGAAGAACACCGAUGGCGAAGGCAGCUCACUGGACGGCAACUGACACUGAGGCUCGAAAGUGUGGGUAUCAAACAGGAUUAGAUACCCGAGUAGUC